AAAAAAAAAAAAUAAAAAAUGAACUAUAUUUUGCUCAGGUAACCGCUCAGGAUGAAAUUUCAUCAAGCAAAUUACAUAUUAACUUUCAAAAAUUCAAGUAUACUCAUCAUAGCAACCAUUUUGCAUUCAAUAGUCUUGUAUCAGCAAAGAUUCACUGUUCAAAAUGUUAAUAACUCAUUUUACGUGGAAAAACAAAAAAGGGGAAACAAAGGGAAGUGAGAGAAAUAAAGUAACUAAACAGAAAAGAAAAAAAUCAAAAGAGAAUAAAAAGGAAAACAUCAAAUUGAAGUUAGACCAACUGCAAUCAGAUUAUCUAACCAAAUGGUGCUCAGUUAACCGCUCAGGAUUGUAUUUCAUCAAGCAAUUACUGCAUAAACUUUCAUGAGUUUUUAAUACUCAUCACAGCAACCAUUUCCAUUAAACAGUCUUUCAUAUUCAAAAUUAACCAUCAAAAUAUUAGUAGCUUAUUUUUGAAAGUUAAAAAAAAAAAAGAAUCAGUUGAAAAAAGACAACGAGGGACAAUGUUAAAAGGAAUCAGAUUGAUGAUGCAUCAACAAGGCUAAUCAGCCAUUCCGACGAGCGAACCUUGUAAUCAGUCAUCUUCACCGUCCUUUUUAGAGGCUAUGAAUUCAGUACUUUGACAUUGAAAUGCAGUUAAUUAAAUCAGAGUUAUCAUCCCAAGUACAACAGGCAAAAUUGUUGAAGUAAAAGAAUUGGCAUCUCUAAGUACCAUAAAAUCAAAGAACUAUGCUUCCAAACAAACCUUAAUAUUUGCCAAAAAAUCAUU
rnacentral:misc_RNA from 1 species